GGUCCCAUCGUCUAGUGGCCUAGGACGCCUGGUUUUCAUCCAGGAAAUCACGGGUUCGACUCCCGUUGGGACCGCCA
rnacentral:tRNA from 1 species